GUUAAAAUUCAAACUAUCACUUAACAUUGUUUUUUUUUCAGAAAACAGCAUCAAAGUGCACAUGCGAGUCCAGCAGCUCCUUUUGCCACCUAGAAUAUUUUUUCAUAGGCUAUUUAUAGACCUCAACCCAGAGAGUGGAACAAAAGCUGCAAAUGGAAAAGUGCAAACGGAAAACCAACAGGACAACUUAUGCAAAACACUAGGACAGCAGUGAACCCGUGUGUCUCCAUUCUCCUUCAUGAACCAGCAGAACUUUUAAAAUGGUAAAAUUACACAUUUACACACAAUCAGUUCUCUUACUCCAUCUUUCUCCCUGUCUGUCUUUUUCUCUGCCUGUCUUAAAUGCAGUUUAAUGUUCUGUCCUGUCCAUUUCUAAUAGACAGACAGGAGGACAGCUACAAUGAAGGAAGGUCAGAGAGAGUGUCUGUCCACUAAAUCUUUCCUUUUCAUUCUAUCUGUCUUUAACUGACAUAAAUGCAGUUUAAUGUUCUGUCUAUCUCAUGUAUUAAAACAUGUUUUUCUUUAUCUUCCAGCAACCCUUUGAUUAUUUCUGGAGAAUUUCAGGACUGAGAGCAACUCAGAACUCAUCCAGGUUUAAAAAACACUCUUUCGGAAAUGCACCUUGGGGGAUAGAACCUCCUCCUUUCAGCUGCAGCAGUGCUGUCAUUGAGGAGAAAUGCAGAUGCCAAAGUGCCGGCUCCCAUGGCCAUCAUCACUGCUGUGUUACGACCAGUUAUC